rnacentral:rRNA from 1 species
CUGCCUGCCACAGCCGGAUAAUCGGGAGAAAUUCCGUCUAAUACGGCAUAAUGCAUCGACGGGACAUCCUGUUGGUGCCAAAGGUUGAUUCCGGUGGCGGAUGGGCAUGCGUCGCAUUAGUUAGUUGGCGGUGUAACGGACCACCAAGACGACGAUGCGUAGGGGUUCUGAGAGGAAGGUCCCCCACACUGGUACUGAGACACGGACCAGACUCCUACGGGAGGCAGCAGUGAGGAAUAUUGGUCAAUGGGCGGGAGCCUGAACCAGCCAAGUCGCGUGAGGGAUGACGGCCCUAUGGGUUGUAGACCUCUUUUGCCGGGGAGCAAAGUGCCGCACGUGUGCGGUUUGGAGAGUACCCGGAGAAAAAGCAUCGGCUAACUCCGUGCCAGCAGCCGCGGUAAUACGGAGGAUGCGAGCGUUAUCCGGAUUUAUUGGGUUUAAAGGGUGCGUAGGCGGACGCUUAAGUCAGCGGUAAAAUUGCGGGGCUCAACCUCGUCGAGCCGUUGAAACUGGGUGCCUUGAGUGGGCGAGAAGUACGCGGAAUGCGUGGUGUAGCGGUGAAAUGCAUAGAUAUCACGCAGAACUCCGAUUGCGAAGGCAGCGUACCGGCGCCCAACUGACGCUGAAGCACGAAGGCGUGGGUAUCGAACAGGAUUAGAUACCCUGGUAGUCCACGCAGUAAACGAUGA